rnacentral:rRNA from 1 species
UACGAAGGGUGCAAGCGUUACUCGGAAUUACUGGGCGUAAAGCGUGCGUAGGUGGUUUGUUAAGUCUGAUGUGAAAGCCCUGGGCUCAACCUGGGAAUUGCAUUGGAUACUGGCAGGCUAGAGCGCGGUAGAGGAUGGCGGAAUUCCCGGUGUAGCAGUGAAAUGCGUAGAGAUCGGGAGGAACAUCUGUGGCGAAGGCGGCCAUCUGGACCAGCACUGACACUGAGGCACGAAAGCGUGGGGAGCAAACAGG